UUUUGCCCUUGAAGUGGGGGCAAAAAGGUCAAUUUUUAUCCGGAGUGAUUUUGGGACGACAAGUGGUAUUUUUAGAUAGGUGGUACUGAGCCGAGUCCGUAGACACGGAGUAGGCUCGAUUCGAACUUGGAACGAGAAAGUUACGAUCGAAAAAUAUAGAGGACAUAUUUGGAAUUAUUUUUCGGAAAUUAUUUUUGGAUAAAAUCAGUUUUUUUCAGAAAUAAUAUCUCAUUUCUCUCUCCUCACUCUCUCUCUCCCGUGCGUCUCUCUCUCUCCCGUCGACUCUCUCCCUCUGCGACUAACCUAGCCACCAUCACAGACCACCCUAGCCCACGGCACCGGUACCAAAACAUCCGGCCAGACCUCCCCGACGCAACCCAGGCCGUCCUCCGCCCUCAGCCGUCGUCCAGCCGCCGGAAAACGCAAGGAAACAGUCGGAAACAGUCGCGAUUUUUCAGCCGCUCGUUCUCCGUCGUCCGGCCACCAUUUCCGACGCACGAGGUGAUCCGACUCCGCCUUCAGAGCAGGCAGGACCCUCUCGGGGUCGCGCAGCUUGGGACUACUUCCAGUAGUGACUGGAACGAGCUGCAGUGCCGUGUUUUGUACCCUGCUAUCACGAGCCGCAGUACUUGAGCUUGUCUCGGAGCCUCAGUGCUAUGUAAAUACGUAAACUACAUUUUUGCUAGUGUGUUGAAUUAUGUUAGAUGCUCUGUUAUUGCCCUGUUAGGAUUUGGUAUUUUGAGGCCGUAGGCCAUGUUCUAUAACACUAUACUUUGUGUAAUGCAUGCUGGCUGUUGGGUUGUAAA